rnacentral:rRNA from 1 species
UACGAAGGGGGCUAGCGUUGUUCGGAAUGACUGGGCGUAAAGGGCGCGUUAGGCGGCUUGUUUAGUCAGGCGUGAAAUUCCUGGGCUUAACCUGGGGGCUGCGCUUGAUACAGGCAGGCUUGAGUCCGGAAGAGGUGAGUGGAACUCCGAGUGUAGAGGUGAAAUUCGUAGAUAUUCGGAAGAACACCAGUGGCGAAGGCGGCUCACUGGUCCGGUACUGACGCUGAUGAUGCGAAAGCGUGGGGAGCAAACAGG